CUGUCCCAAGCUCAUCUCCAGCUAAAUUACUAGGUCUGACCCCAGCCGGGAAGCCAGCUGUAUAAAGGCACCUGGCACCCGCUGCUCCCCGUCCCAGCUGGUAGAUGCCCCACGAUGAGGCUGCUCCUGGUGUUUCUGCUUCUGGCUGUUCUGUGCACUGACCUGGCCAAGCCCAGCGGCAUCCUGGUCAUGAAGUCCUGCACCCCGACGUGCCCCAACAGCACUGUGUCCUCGGAUGGCUGCUCUGUCUCCGUCUCCUGCUGCCAGGGCAACCAGUGCAACCACAGUGGAGCUGCGAGCCUGGCUGGUGGCCAUGGAGCCCUGUGGGUCGGCGCGUCCAUCAGCCUGCUGUGGGCGCUGCUCCAGGCGGCCUGGUGAGCGCAGCUACCACGGGCCAGCCCUGGAUCUGGCCUGUCCCCUCCCAGCCUGGACUCAGGCUGCAGGGGUCUGUCUCCAGCCUGCGAAGCUCCCAGCACAGCCCCAGCCUGGCAGGAAGAGCCCUGUCUCACUUGUCACUCCUCUCUGCUUCCCCCAGGCCACAUCCGCGCCCUCAGCCUCCUACCCCAGGGAGGGACGCUCCCCACCUGCCUCAGGGAACCCACCAAUGUGGAAAGCCAGGGGGGCAUGUCUCCCCCAGGCCUGUACCUCCGAGGGACCCUCAGCUGUCUCCUGGGGUCCUGGGGUCCCCCCUGGCCAUCCGGGAGUAGGAAGAGCACUCCAAUUCUCCCCAGCACCCUCCACCCCUUUUCAGGGCCUUCUGCCAGGGAUUCCUUCCCAUCAAGCCCUGCCUCGAAGGAGACCCCUGUGCCCCAUGGCCACGGGGCCCCUGGGCCUCCUCCUGUGCCUGGAGCCGCCCGUGCAGGAGGAGGCGGGUUGAGGGUUUGGGUGUUGGGUCUCCCAGGCUUUCUAUUCACUCCACCAACCACUCCUGUGCUCCCUCAUUCAUUCAUUCAUUCAUUCAUUCAUCCGUUGGCCCAUGCACUUAUUCCCUCCUUCACUCACAUUCAUUCAUCACAAACCCAUGGGGCUUCCUUGGAGCCAGGUGCCCCUUGGAGCCAGGACCUGCCUCCCAGGCUGUCACUAGGGGCUCAGUGUGUGACCAGUGCCCGAAGUCCAGGGAUGGGACAGGGAGUCCAGAAGGCCACCAGCACCCCUGCCACCCCCUGCCAGCUGAAGGCAGGCCUUUCCAAUGGACCCCUGGCUGCUGGCUGCAGGGUGGACCAAGUCACCUAGGGGACCAGUGUCGGGUGUCGGGAUUGGAGGGGGUGUCCAUUCUCACAAGGCAUGGGUGCCAUCCUACCUCCCCCAGGGGCACCCUCUGCCAGCCCACCUCCCAGGAUCUCUGAGAGGAGAAUAAAGCUGCACGUCCUCCUUGUCCUCA
rnacentral:lncRNA from 1 species